UUAUUAUAAACUAAAUUAAAAAAACUAUAGUAGUAUUAGUUAUGUUCUUGAAAUUAAAAAAAUUUGGCGGUAUUUUAGUCUAUUCAGAGGAACCUGUUUCAUAAUCGAUAAUCCACGAUGGACCUUACUUAAUUUUAUAAAGUUUAUAUACCGUCGUUAUAAAUAUUUUAAAAGAAUUAUUAAUUUUUAAUUAUUUAAUAUAAUAAGUUAUAUCAGAUCAAGGUUUAGCUAAUAAUUAAGUGAAAAUGGGUUACAAUAAAUAUAUUUAAAUGAAUUAAAUAAUGAAAUUUAUUUAUGAAAGUGGAUUUGAUAGUAAAAUUAUAGAGAUUAAUAAUUUGAUUAUAGCUCUAAAAUAUGUACAUAUCGCCCGUCACUCUUAUUAAUAAAUAAGAUAAGUCGUAACAUAGUAGAUGUACUGGAAAGUGUAUCUAGAAUG
rnacentral:rRNA from 1 species